GACGAACGCUGGCGGCGUGCUUAACGCAUGCAAGUCGAACGGAAAGGCCCUGCUUGCAGGGUACUCGAGUGGCGAACGGGUGAGUAACACGUGGGUGAUCUGCCCUGCACUUCGGGAUAAGCCUGGGAAACUGGGUCUAAUACCGGAUAGGAGCCAUUUUUAGUGUGAUGGUUGGAAAGUUUUUUCGGUGUAGGAUGAGCUCGCGGCCUAUCAGCUUGUUGGUGGGGUAAUGGCCUACCAAGGCGGCGACGGGUAGCCGGCCUGAGAGGGUGGACGGCCACAUUGGGACUGAGAUACGGCCCAGACUCCUACGGGAGGCAGCAGUGGGGAAUAUUGCACAAUGGGCGCAAGCCUGAUGCAGCGACGCCGCGUGGGGGAUGACGGCCUUCGGGUUGUAAACUCCUUUCGCUAGGGACGAGGCUUUUUGUGACGGUACCUAGAUAAGAAGCACCGGCUAACUACGUG
rnacentral:rRNA from 1 species